UACGUGGGGGGCAAGCGUUGUCCGGAAUCAUUGGGCGUAAAGAGCGUGUAGGCGGCCCGGUAAGUCCGCUGUGAAAGUCCAGGGCUCAACCCUGGGAUGCCGGUGGAUACUGUCGGGCUCGAGUCCGGAAGAGGAGUGUGGAAUUCCUGGUGUAGCGGUGAAAUGCGCAGAUAUCAGGAGGAACACCAAUGGCGAAGGCAGCACUCUGGGACGCGACUGACGCUGAGACGCGAAAGCGUGGGGAGCAAACAGG
rnacentral:rRNA from 1 species